UACGAAGGGGGCUAGCGUUGCUCGGAAUCACUGGGCGUAAAGAGUGUGUAGGCGGUGCUCUAAGUUCGGUGUGAAAUCUCCUGGCUCAACUGGGAGGGUGCGCCGGAAACUGGAGUGCUUGAGCGUGGGAGAGGAAAGUGGAAUUCCUGGUGUAGCGGUGAAAUGCGUAGAUAUCAGGAGGAACACCUGUGGUGUAGACGGCUUUCUGGACCAUAGCUGACGCUGAGACACGAAAGCGUGGGUAGCAAACAGG
rnacentral:rRNA from 1 species